CCAGUGAAGUGCCCGCGCCCUCGUGGCCGGGUGCCCACCCACCCGUGUUUACAUACUCUUGUUGCUUUGGCAGGCCGUGCUCUGCACUGCGGGCUCUGCUCGUGCGUGCCUGCCAGAGGACCAAACUCUGAAUGUCAGUGAUGUCUGAGUACUAUAUAAUAGUUA
rnacentral:misc_RNA from 1 species